rnacentral:rRNA from 1 species
AUUGAACGCUGGCGGCAUGCCUUACACAUGCAAGUCGAACGGUAACAGGUCUUCGGAUGCUGACGAGUGGCGAACGGGUGAGUAAUACAUCGGAACGUGCCUAGUAGUGGGGGAUAACUACUCGAAAGAGUGGCUAAUACCGCAUGAGAUCUACGGAUGAAAGCAGGGGAUCGCAAGACCUUGUGCUACUAGAGCGGCCGAUGGCAGAUUAGGUAGUUGGUGGGAUAAAAGCUUACCAAGCCGACGAUCCGUAGCUGGUCUGAGAGGACGAUCAGCCACACUGGGACUGAGACACGGCCCAGACUCCUACGGGAGGCAGCAGUGGGGAAUUUUGGACAAUGGGCGCAGGCCUGAUCCAGCAAUGCCGCGUGCAGGAUGAAGGCCUUCGGGUUGUAAACUGCUUUUGUACGGAGCGAAAAGCCCCGGGUUAAUACCCUGGGGUCAUGACGGUACCGUAAGAAUAAGCACCGGCUAACUACGUGCCAGCCGCCGCAGUAA